UUUCCGUAGGUGAACCUGCGGAAGGAUCAUUACUGAGAACCGGCGCCCUCGUGGCCCGACCCUCAAACCACCGAGUACCUUACCCCAACGUUGCCUCGGCGGGCGCGGCCUCGCGCCGCCCCGCCGGUGGACAAAACCAUAACAGCUUUGUAUGACGAUUGUCUGAUAUUACUCUUCGCGAAUGCGAUAAAGUACAACUUUCAACAAUGGAUCUCUUGGCUCCGGCAUCGAUGAAGAACGCAGC
rnacentral:misc_RNA from 1 species